CAAUAGCGUAUACUAAAGUUGUUGCAGUUAAAAAGCUCGUAGUUGGAUUUCUGUUUUGAAGAAUGGGUCGUGCCCAAACGGGUUCUGUACUUUUUUCUUCGGAACAUCCUCGAAGUUAGCGUGUCUGCCAUUCAGUUGGUGGGCUCGGGACCUUCGUCAUUUACUGUGAGCAAAAUAGAGUGUUCAAAGCAGGCUUAGGCCAUGAAUAUAUUAGCAUGGAAUAAUAAGAUAGGACCUUGGUCUAUUUUGUUGGUUUACAUUCCAAGGUAAUGAUUAAUAGGGAUAGUUGGGGGUAUUCGUAUUCAAUUGUCAGAGGUGAAAUUCUUGGAUUUAUGGAAGACGAACUACUGCGAAAGCAUUUACCAAGGAUGUUUUCAUUAAUCAAGAACGAAAGUUAGGGGAUCGAAGACGAUUAGAUACCAU
rnacentral:rRNA from 1 species